rnacentral:rRNA from 1 species
AUUGAACGCUGGCGGCAGGCCUAACACAUGCAAGUCGAGCGGAUGAAGGGAGCUUGCUCCUGGCUUCAGCGGCGGACGGGUGAGUAAUGCCUAGGAAUCUGCCUGGUCGUGGGGGAUAACGUCCGGAAACGGGCGCUAAUACCGCAUACGUCCUGAGGGAGAAAGUGGGGGAUCUUCGGACCUCACGCUAUCAGAUGAGCCUAGGUCGGAUUAGCUAGUUGGUGGGGUAAAGGCCUACCAAGGCGACGAUCCGUAACUGGUCCGAGAGGAUGAUCAGUCACACUGGAACUGAGACACGGUCCAGACUCCGACGGGAGGCAGCAGUGGGGAAUAUUGGACAAUGGGCGAAAUCCUGAUCCAGCCAUGCCGCGUGUGUGAAGAAGGUCUUCGGAUUGUAAAGCACUUUAAGUGGGGAGGAAGGGCAGUAAGUGAAUACCUUGCUGUUUUGACGUUACCAACAGAAUAAGCACCGGCUAACUUCGUG